GAGAUACGGCCCAGACUCCUACGGGAGGCAGCAGUGGGGAAUAUUGCACAAUGGGCGCAAGCCUGAUGCAGCGACGCCGCGUGGGGGAUGACGGCCUUCGGGUUGUAAACCUCUUUCAGUAGGGACGAAGCGCAAGUGACGGUACCUACAGAAGAAGCACCGGCCAACUACGUGCCAGCAGCCGCGGUAAUACGUAGGGUGCGAGCGUUGUCCGGAAUUACUGGGCGUAAAGAGCUCGUAGGUGGUUUGUCGCGUUGUUCGUGAAAUCUCACAGCUUAACUGUGAGCGUGCGGGCGAUACGGGCAGACUGGAGUACUGCAGGGGAA
rnacentral:rRNA from 1 species